rnacentral:lncRNA from 1 species
AUCUUUCAAUAACUUCUCAUAUAAUUCAAUCACAUAAUACUCCAAUUACAUAAUCAAUAACUCAUAAAUCAAUCUCUGAUUUAUUCCAUAGACUCACUUCUCAGUAUUCAGAAACUAUCCAUUACUCUUCAACAACAAAAAAAACAAAGAGGUAGCACCAAGCUUAACCCCGGCCCAUGACUAUCACAGUCUAACAUCCCAAAAAACUUCUACAACUCCUAUAUAAUUGCUAUUGAUUUCCAGAUCCUAACCAUAAUCAUGUAAUAAACUACUUUUAAUAACUAAAUCAACCAUCCGUCCUCCUGAACUGACUAUUCUAUAGACUAUUAAUCUAUUUUAUUAAUAUCUUACAAAAAUAAACUAAUAUCUAUUCUACGGUUAUUCUUACGAAUAAGUUUUUAGCUGCAGAUUGUUUUGCUAUCCCACUCAAUACAAUGCCAUAAAGUAUCACCAUGUAUCCUCCAUCCUUGAAAGAGAUUGUGCUUGGUAGCUAAUCGAUCUAUUUGUUCCUCACCUCUAACCAUGACAUACUAAGGAUCAUAUCAUAUUUAAGCUUUGUUACUCUAAACUUCUCUAUCAAGGCAUAAGUAUCACUUAGUCUAAGAAUUUUUUCUUCACUUAUCUUAUUCAAUACGUUCUCAUGAUCAUCCGUUAGGUAUAUACUUCCUCUUUUGGUCACCUUUGUUUUAAUCCGAAGUUGUUUGGCAAUUGCUAUCAAGAUGUAAUUUUUUGUAGAACCACAA